UACAGAGGUCUCAAGCGUUGUUCGGAUUCAUUGGGCGUAAAGGGUGCGUAGGCGGCCAACUAAGUCAGACGUGAAAUCCCUCGGCUUAACCGGGGAACUGCGUCUGAUACUGGAUGGCUUUGGAGUUUGGGGAGAGGGAUGCGGAAUUCCAGGUGUAGCGGAUGAAAUGCGUAGAUAUCUGGAGGAACACCGGUGGCGAAGGCGGCAUCCUGGACCAACACUGACGCUGAGUGAGCGAAAGCCAGGGGAGGCAAACAGGG
rnacentral:rRNA from 1 species